CUUAACCUAGACUAUCUCACUUUUCAAUUAAUUCUUCAACAACCAUAAUAUUUUUGGAAAUAUGUUGCAAGGCUUGUAAUAAUACAGUAGUUCACAUGGUUAGUAAGAUUAAAAAAUAAGCUUAGGUAAUUCUGUAUGAAUUUACUUUAUUGGCUUGUGUCUAUCUUGCCACUUUGCUACCUGUGUAACUGCUUUGGUAUUGCUAUUGUGUUGUCAUAUUAUUCUUGCAAUUAUGUUUAGAUAAUUGUUCUUUUGAGCCGACGAUCUAUCGGAAACAACCUCUCAACCUCAAAGGUGGGUUAAGGUAUGCAUAUAUCCUACCCUCCCUAGACCCCAUUUGUCUGGUUACACAGGAUAUGUUGUUCGUCUGUUAUGUGAAGAACAUGUCGUUAUCAAUGAAUCAUCCAACAUGAAUAGAUUCAAGACAAGGAUAGAAUACUUCAACUGACCACUAGCUCAACUUUUAUGAUACUAAUGCAACUUUGCCUCUUUUGCAGGGAUAAAAACCUGCAUUUAAGAAAAUUUUCCUGUGAAUGAAUUGCCUUAUGAAGUUAACCUGGACAAUCAUGGCUGUUUUGGGGGUCCCAAAGCUGGUAGACUCAGAGCUGCAUCUAGCGAACCUAAGUUUUUUGAUGGUUUGAAGUUCCAUCUGAGUGGAGAUUAUCUCCCAGCUUACAAAACUGACCUGUUAGAUCUCGUUGAAAAGGCUGGAGGUUCAAUAUUUCACACCAACGAACAGUUGAUUUCCCUGGCCGAUGCUAUGCAGGCAACUAGCUCAGCUUGUUUAGUUGUUUAUAACAGCGAUCCUCCACGUGGUUGUGCAUUCGGGGAAGCAAGCAACAUUUUGCUGUAACGACAAGAAAAGGCCGAGAAACUAGCCAAGCCAAUCGUUUGUCAGGCCAUUCAGCAUACAUGGAUUCUGGAGUCUUAGGCUAAAUGUAAAAUGGCGCCUUUCAGCUGAUAAUAAAACAGAUACCCUGAUAACUCUACUCAUUUGAUAGAUGAGAGCAAAGGGUCUUGUUUGUCUAUACCUAUUUACACAUAACACUUUCUGCAUCAUAGCAAUAUAGAGAAUCUUGUACUUCCUAAAGUUUUCCACAACCAAAAGUAACAGUUGAAGUGAGACAACGACAUAGAUAUAUUUACCCAAAUCCAGCACUUAGUUAUCAUUUUUCUUGUAUAUGUGCAUCACAGACUAUGAUUUAGUUGAAAAGCAGAAGAUUAUAUGAGAAAAUUGGUAGCUCCCAAGCUUGUUGUAAGGUAUAUGCCAUAUGGUCCCAAGGCAAAAAUAUAUGUACCGAUUAAAGCAAUGAGACACUUUAGCUUGUUUUA